rnacentral:tRNA from 1 species
AUUUUUAAAAACUUGUUUAUCUCUAUCCUUCCCAAUUUCCAAAUUGAUUAUCGUUUUUUAAUUUACCGGCUUAGUAUUAGAUAU